CUGGACGUUAAGGAGGCAAGAUGUCGGCAUAGCUGAUAUUGUUUGAAAUUCGGCUGUGUCACAUCCAGCCAACCAAACGG
rfam:Camponotus floridanus CamFlo_1.0_3.contig6450, whole genome shotgun sequence.